GGGCUUGACAUCCCACGAAUCUUGCUGAAAGGCAGGAGUGCCCGCAAGGGAGCGCGGAGACAGGUGGUGCAUGGCUGUCGUCAGCUCGUGUCGUGAGAUGUUGGGUUAAGUCCCGCAACGAGCGCAACCCUCACCUCUUGUUGCCACCAGGUCAUGCUGGGCACUCUAGAGGAACUGCCCCGGUCAACGGGGAGGAAGGCGGGGAUGACGUCAAGUCAUCAUGCCCCUUACGUCCUGGGCUACACACGUGCUACAAUGGCCGGUACAAAGGGAUGCCACACCGCGAGGUAGAGCUAAACCCAAAAAGCCGGUCUAAGUUCAGAUUGGAGUCUGCAACUCGACUCCAUGAAGGAGGAAUCGCUAGUAAUCGCGUAUCAGCACGACGCGGUGAAUACGUUCCCGGGCCUUGUACACACCGCCCGUCACACCACGAAAGCCAGUUGUACUCGAAGUCGCUGAG
rnacentral:rRNA from 1 species